UCGAGAAUAGAAAUGUCUACACUCAGUGUUCUGGCGUAUGGAUGUCUGAAUGAUUAGUAGCCUAGCAUU
rnacentral:snoRNA from 1 species